ACCACCAGACUGGGAAGCAACAGCCUGGGCUUCAGAGUCAGCCACUUACCAGGAAGCAACAGCCUGGGCUUCAGACACUCACAACCAGACUGGGAAGCAACAAGCUGGGC